UAGGGGCCCUGCUGGGUGUAAUGGCAAAUUAUAUCUCUAAAGGAGCUUCUACACUAGUGGAUAGAGACAGACAAUAAAAACACCGGUACCAAGUAAAUAAAGGAGAUAAAUUGGUCACAAAGGGCCCCCUGAAGAGUGAAUAUUUGAUCCAGUUUCCUAAGAAUGAGACCCAGGUGGCCACCCAUUGAGGUGGGAAAGGGCGGCACAGGCAGAGAGAACAGCAAAUCUAAAAGCCCUAAGGUAGGAUGACAUGGAUCUGUCUAAGGAACAGAAGAAAACAUGGUAAGUGUGAAGAAGCAGGGCGUGAGAUGAAGUCAGAGAGGCGGGGCUGUUGGCCAGGAUAAAGAGUGCGGGUUUUAUUUUAGUCUUGCUGAGGGAUUAAUUGUAGGCAAUGCAUAAAGAGAGAAAUCUGGAUGACUUCUGAAUUUUUAACUUGGAAGGUGGUGCCAUUUGCUGCCUGUGGAUGCCUAAGGGAAGAAGAGAUGUGGGACGAUGAAUGUGACAGUGUCAGAACGGUGACCCUAGAGCUCAAAGAAGCUGCCGAGUCUUUCAGCGUGUAGAUGAUAUGAAGCCAACACCUGGAUGAGAGCCUCAGAGGAACUUAGGACAUCAGAGAUCAUUCCACAGUAUGAGUCCCUUUUCCUCCCCGCUGUCCUCACAUACCUGGAAGCUGCUCUCCCAGAGACAAAGCUCUUGGAGGCCAGGGGAGAGAGCGUGAGACUCAUUAUCCUCGCCUACCCUUUGGGAGCUGAAACACCUCCCCUUCUCACUGAUAAAGCCCCAUAGAUGUCACCUUGGGUAAAAACAUAGUCACCUCACCUGCUUAAUCCUUAUUCAGACACACACCCACGAUCUCUUGUUACCUGUAAAGAGAUCAUUUUCUGUCUUGUUCUCUGACCCUCGCCUUAUUUCUUAACUCAAAAUAAUUCCAAUCCUGGCUGUUGCCUCAAGGAAAGGACACAGCUGGGAAUGAGACAAGACUCUAAGCCAGGAUUAACAAGACCCUAGGUAUUUGCAGGUGCCCAGCCUCCUUUUUAUGGAUUUCAAUUGCAUCUGUCUUCAGCCAGCCCUGCUGAAGGCUACUUUCCUGAGGAACCUCUUUCCCAGGCAACAGAACACUUCGCAAGUCAGUGUCAUUGUUAUUUCUGUUUUUAGCACUAUUGCUUUCUUCUUUCCCUUUAUAAACGUAUACUAUUUUCAGAUUCACAAUGUAUCCAAGGAGUUCUAGUGGUUUGAGCGGGAGAAUGACUUAUUGCUCAAAAUAAUCUGGCAGCAUAGAAUAGCCCCGGAACUUGCGAUUGAGACUCUCUUCCCUAUCCCGACUCUGCUAGGUGGCUGGGAGUGAAUGACUCAACUUCCCUGAACCUUUCUUCACCCACAAGGUGGAGAGCCUCACAAAAUUCACAGAAAGACUGAACAAAGCAAUGCAUGCUUAGCAUAGCACCUGCUACCUAGUAAAUGCUCAACAAAUAGUCAUCCAGUUGAUUCAACUCAGAGGGAAAAUAAACAAGAGACUUUGAAACACCACCCAUCUGCAACGUGGAAACUGCUUGGAACAAGGAAACAAACGACACCUCUGGUCUCAGUCCAGGGGCUUCUGCCUGCCACUUGCCUCAAUCCUUCAGCCUUGCUUCUGAAACUGCCUAGCUGUGUGAACGAUGACAGUUACUUAAUGUCUUACAAGAGCAUCAUGAAAACUCAAGAAGAUGCUUGGAAAAAACUUCAUGACAGGGGCUGGGGAUGUGGCUCAAGCGGUAGCGCGCUCGCCUGGCAUGCUUGCGGCCCAGGUUCAAUCCUCAACACCACAUACCAACAAAGAUGU